AAAUAAAGAACUUUCUUUAUCUGAAUCAUCACUCUCUUUCUUUUUGGAUUGCAGCCACAGAUUUAUAAACAUGGAGCAGAGAAAAUCAGAGGGCAGUGCCUGGGAUAGAGUAGGAAGAAACUCAAUAAUUACAGAUGCUUUUAGGUUAAUACGAGAAGACUGUAUUGACAGACUGUAA
rnacentral:lncRNA from 1 species